rnacentral:rRNA from 1 species
UACAGAGGGUGCGAGCGUUGUCCGGAAUCACUGGGCGUAAAGGGCGCGUAGGCGGCUUGAUAAGGUUGCGGUGAAAGCCCGGGGCUCAACCCCGGGUCGGCCGUGGCAACUGUCGAGCUGGAGCACUGUAGAGGCAGGUGGAAUUCCGGGUGUAGCGGUGGAAUGCGUAGAGAUCCGGAAGAACACCGGUGGCGAAGGCGGUUCUCUGGGCAUUACCUGACGCUGAGGAGCGAAAGUGUGGGGAGCGAACAGG